rnacentral:lncRNA from 1 species
GGAUCUGUUCUUCAUACCUAUCGUCCACGAAACAGCCAAAAAAAAAUAUUAGGCUUAGAUCAUCCUAUCCGAACCAAUCUGAGCCUUUGCAUAAUCUUUUCAGUAGUUUGCUUAGUUGAAUUUGCGGUUCCAUCGUCGUGUCGAGUUGCUGGUCUUAGUGUCUAGUUCUUUAGAGUUUCGAGUUCUGUUCAUAGUUGUCACGCCGUCACCGCAUCGUAUUUCAUCAUAUACCAC